rnacentral:rRNA from 1 species
AUUGAUCGCUGGCGGCAUGCUUUACACAUGCAAGUCGAACGGUAACAGGCCGCAAGGUGCUGACGAGUGGCGAACGGGUGAGUAAUGUAUCGGAACGUGCCCAGUCGUGGGGGAUAACUACUCGAAAGAGUAGCUAAUACCGCAUACGAUCUAUGGAUGAAAGCGGGGGACCGUAAGGCCUCGCGCGAUUGGAGCGGCCGAUGUCAGAUUAGGUAGUUGGUGGGGUAAAGGCUCACCAAGCCAACGAUCUGUAGCUGGUCUGAGAGGACGACCAGCCACACUGGGACUGAGACACGGCCCAGACUCCUACGGGAGGCAGCAGUGGGGAAUUUUGGACAAUGGGCGCAAGCCUGAUCCAGCAAUGCCGCGUGCAGGAAGAAGGCCUUCGGGUUGUAAACUGCUUUUGUACGGAACGAAACGGCUCUGGUUAAUACCCGGGGCUAAUGACGGUACCGGAAGAAUAAGCACCGGCUAACUACGUG